rnacentral:rRNA from 1 species
GACGAACGCUGGCGGCGUGCUUAACACAUGCAAGUCGAGCGGAAAGGCUCCUUCGGGGGUACUCGAGCGGCGAACGGGUGAGUAACACGUGAGUAAUCUGCCCUUGGCUUUGGGAUAAGCCCCGGAAACGGGGUCUAAUACCGGAUAUGACCGGCCACUGCAUGGUGGUUGGUGGAAAGUUUUUUCGGCCAGGGAUGUGCUCGCGGCCUAUCAGCUUGUUGGUGGGGUAAUGGCCUACCAAGGCUUCGACGGGUAGCCGGCCUGAGAGGGUGACCGGCCACACUGGGACUGAGACACGGCCCAGACUCCUACGGGAGGCAGCAGUGGGGAAUAUUGGACAAUGGGCGGAAGCCUGAUCCAGCAACGCCGCGUGAGGGAUGACGGCCUCGG